rnacentral:rRNA from 1 species
UACGUAGGGGGGCAAGCGUUGUCCGGAUUUAUUGGGCGUAAAGAGCGUGUAGGCGGUUUGGUAGUCCGUUGUGAAAACUCGAGGCUCAACCUCGAGACGCCGAUGGAAACCAUCAGACUAGAGUCCGGAAGAGGAGAGUGGAAUUCCUGGUGUAGCGGUGAAAAUGCGUAGAUAUCAGGAGGAACACCAAUGGCGAAGGCAGCUCGCUGGGACGGUACUGACGCUGAGGCGCGAAAGCGUGGGGAGCAAACAGG